rnacentral:rRNA from 1 species
AUUGAACGCUGGCGGCAUGCCUUACACAUGCAAGUCGAACGGUAACAGGUCUUCGGAUGCUGACGAGUGGCGAACGGGUGAGUAAUACAUCGGAACGUGCCCAAUCGUGGGGGAUAGCUCGGCGAAAGCCGGAUUAAUACCGCAUACGAUCUACGGAUGAAAGCAGGGGAUCGCAAGACCUUGCGCGAAUGGAGCGGCCGAUGGCAGAUUAGGUAGUUGGUGGGAUAAAGGCUCACCAAGCCGACGAUCUGUAGCUGGUCUGAGAGGACGACCAGCCACACUGGGACUGAGACACGGCCCAGACUCCUACGGGAGGCAGCAGUGGGGAAUUUUGGACAAUGGGCGCAAGCCUGAUCCAGCAAUGCCGCGUGCAGGAUGAAGGCCUUCGGGUUGUAAACUGCUUUUGUACGGAACGAAAAGGCUCUGGUUACUACCUGGGGCUCAUGACGGUACCGUAAGAAUAAGCACCGGCUAACUACGUGCCAGCCGCCGCAGUAAAAC